rfam:Clostridium intestinale TRNW genomic scaffold scaffold1, whole genome shotgun sequence.
ACUUAAAAAAGGCAAACUUAUUGAAAAGUAAGGACGCAAAGCUAUGGGUCUAAUGGGUUAUCCUAUGAUUGCCAGGUUGCUAAG